GAAAUGCGAUAAUUAAUGUGAAUUGCAGAAUUCAGUGAAUCAUCGAGUCUUUGAACGCACAUUGCGCCCCCUGGUAUUCCGGGGGGCAUGCCUGUCCGAGCGUCAUUGCUGCCCUCAAGCACGGCUUGUGUGUUGGGCUUCCGUCCCUGGCAACGGGGACGGGCCCAAAAGGCAGUGGCGGCACCAUGUCUGGUCCUCGAGCGUAUGGGGCUUUGUCACCCGCUCCCGUAGGUCCAGCUGGCAGCUAGCCUCGCAACCAAUCUUUUUAACCAGGUUGACCUCGGAUCAGGUGGGGAUACCCGCUGAACUUAAGC
rnacentral:misc_RNA from 1 species